GCCCAUAAGUAAGUUCUAUUAGCAAGUACUUGGAUUAUUAAGUGAUUAUGUGAAUUACAUUCGAGCUUGUCUUUAUUAAUUGAGUUUAAUUUAAUACUUUACUUUUCGUUGCACACUCUAAAAACCCCUAUUUUGAUUACCUUAGAUAAACAUCAUAACAACAGAUAACGAUAGAUUGACACUUGGUCUCUGUGGAUUCGACAAUCUUUUAUAUUACUCUGACGCGUUCGUAUACUUGCGAAAAGCACGCAUCAGAAGGCUCAUCUGAAUAUUGCCUGAGGGACUCAACUAAAUCACGUCAGCAAGACUCAACUAAGUUUUUCUUGAGGCUAGUUUUUCUUUCAUCGAUUUGAGCGUCAUUCCUUCGGAUACGAUGCCGCUUUCCCGGAUGCAUCGCCAUAAUCCUUAGUACUCCCGUCCAUAAUGCGCAAUCGUGUGUGAAGUGUUGACUGGUCAACAAGCGUUAUAUAAGGGGUCGUGGGAUUUAUCCUCCAUGAAUUUCUGGGAAUCAAGAACAUAUUCACAUAGAGACAUUACUAUACUCUAGAAAGACUUGAGAUAGAUUGGACCAACGAUAACAUAAAAAAUAUAUAUACAAAACUUCUUGACUUACGUGCUCUCAACCUCAAAACAUCCCUAAAAUCUUUGACUAAGACUUAAUAACUAAAAAUUAUAACCAAUUUAUACUUUUAGCAAAUUGAAAAAACCAUAAAUGCAACUUUCAUAAAGUUAUGCAAAAGAAAAAAGUAUAAAAUUUUAAGGUGAUAGUAAAAUAAUUAAAUGACAGCUUAUGUGAUAUUGUGUCAUAAGACUUAUUACACAUUUAUUUUUUAUAAGUGUAACCUAUUCUGUUUCAUAGAUAAUUUUUUAUUCUCCCGGGUGGCUACUCAUAUAUGAAUAUGACAAAAGUUAUCGAUGCACUCAAAAUAUUUUGGACAAUCGACGUCAACUUCACAUUUAACUUGAAAUUUAAUAUAUAGUCCUGCAAUGAAAAGAGAUUAUAAAACCAUGAUUUGAAAUACAUGAUAAAAGAUUGUGUACAAACUACAAAGUGAAAUACUAAAUUUAAUAGAACAAAAAUGCAUCUUACCAACUACAUGUGAUGCGACGAGAAAAAAGGAAAUGUAUAGAAUCAAAAUAUAAAAAGAUUUGAGAAGUUCAACCAUAUUUUUUCCACUUUGCAUGUAAAGAUAUGAUUUGAUUUCUUUAUAUCAAUAUAAAGUUCAUGGUCUAUAUAAAUAAUUAGUUAAAUCAUAGUUUUAUCCCUUUCGCUCACCUAAUAAAGAGGCUACAUAAUAAUAAAUGGGAUUUUUCUUCUUCUUUUUUAACCUUUCAUUACUUCUAACUUUUCAUUACUUUUUCAUCUUAGCAAAUGGGCAAUUUUCUUUUGUUUAUCAUGGUAAACUAGGAAAAUAACCC
rnacentral:lncRNA from 1 species